AGCCCCCCGUUUGAAGAAGUGUAUGGGGGGUGACCCCUGCUCAAUGAUCUGUUUAGGUUAAAUAGCCGCAGUACCCUGACUGUGCUAAGGUAGCAUAAUCAUUUGGCUUUUAAUUGGAGUCUAGUAUGAAAGGGGCCAAUGGGGGAAAUCUGUUUCUGGUUUAAUUUUUUAAAAUUGCUUAAUAGGUGAAAAUACCUAUAGAUAUAUACAUAGGACGAGAAGACCCUAAGAGUUUUAACAAAAUUUCAGGGUGAUAUAAUUUUCAGAUUAAGAGAAUUAUAUUUCCCUUAACAUCGUAGUUUUUGCUGGGGCGGCAGACCUUCAUAAUCUUAAACAAGGUUUAACUAUAAGCAACACAUGUCUAUCUUUGAUCAGCCAGAAUAAGCUACCUUAGGGAUAACAGCAUAAUUCUUAUUAGAGAUUGUGACCUCGAUGUUGGACUAGGUACCCUGAUUACCAGAAGUAAUUAGGCUAUGUUCUGUUCGAACACCCGAUACCU
rnacentral:rRNA from 1 species